AGGUAGUGCAUAUUGCGCACAAGCACACAAGCGACAUCGACAUUGUUGAAACGUUUCGGAACAAAUCAUUGAAAAUUUCUCAUAAAAUAAGCACAUUAUAAAUUUCACCAUAAUGGGAAAUAUUACAAAUUUAAUUAGAAGCAUCUACUACGAUCCCUAUAAAUGGUCACUUGUAAAAAGCAUUGGAAUUUUCGCCUUAGGAGUUAAAAUUGCUCUUGAAUGUAAUGGCAUGGACUUGAUGCCUCCUGUAACACCGUAAAAUUCUUCUCAAAUGUAUUGAAUAUUGAUGAAAUGCCUAGUAUAAAUAGGUGGGGAUUAUAAUACAUGUGUUUAAUAUUACAUAUUUGUUAUCUCCUCCUAUUUACAUUAUAUAGAAUAAACUUUCAAUUACUAUACCUAACCCAUAAAUUUGUAAGGCAAAUGUCAUUGUUACAUUAAGGUUCAGGACAUUAAUCUUCUGUAAAUAAAAAAAAAUGAGUAAUACUAUUAUAAA